rnacentral:tRNA from 1 species
GCGGUGGUAGUUCAGCGGUAGAAUGUCUCCUUCCCAAGGAGAAGGUCACGGGUUCAAAUCCCGUCCACCGCUCCA